rnacentral:rRNA from 1 species
UACAGAGGUGGCAAGCGUUGUUCGGAAUUACUGGGCGUAAAGGGCGCGUAGGCGGUUCGGUAAGUCCCGUGUGAAAUCCCUCGGCUCAACUGAGGAAUGGCACGGGAAACUGACGGGCUUGAGUUCGGGAGAGGGAAGCGGAAUUCCGGGUGUAGCGGUGAAAUGCGUAGAGAUCAGGAAGAACACCGGUGGCGAAAGCGUUCUGCUAGACCUGUACUGACACUGAGGGACGAAAGCUAGGGGAGCGAAUGGG